rnacentral:rRNA from 1 species
UCGGGUUGUAAAGCACUUUUGUCCGGAAAGAAAUCCUUUGGGUUAAUACCUCGGAGGGAUGACGGUACCGGAAGAAUAAGCACCGGCUAACUACGUGCCAGCAGCCGCGGUAAUACGUAGGGUGCGAGCGUUAAUCGGAAUUACUGGGCGUAAAGCGUGCGCAGGCGGUUCGCUAAGACCGAUGUGAAAUCCCCGGGCUUAACCUGGGAACUGCAUUGGUGACUGGCGGGCUAGAGUAUGGCAGAGGGGGGGUAGAAUUUCCACGUGUAGCAGUGAAAUGCGUAGAGAUGUGGAGGAAUACCGAUGGCGAAGGCAGCCCCCUGGGCCAAUACUGACGCUCAUGCACGAAAGCGUGGGGAGCAAACAGGAUUAGAUACCCUGGUAGUCCCACGCCCUAAACGAUGUCAACUAGUUGUCGGGUCUUCAUUGACUUGGUAACGUAGCUAACGCGUGAAGUUGACCGCCUGGGGAGUACGGUCGCAAGAUUAAAACUCAAAGGAAUUGACGGGGACCCGCACAAGCGGUGGAUGAUGUGGAUUAAUUCGAUGCAACGCGAAAAACCUUACCUACCCUUGACAUGUAUGGAACCCUGCUG